UAUUCUUAAGACCGACGAAGCUGUACCGGAAGGAGCAGUGGAGGGAUAAGAAGAGAGAAUGCCGGAAUGAGUAGCGAGAGAGAGGUGAGAAUCCUCUCGGCCGAAUAUCCAAGGUUUCCAGAGUAAAGCUGAUCUGCUCUGGGUAAGUCGGGGCCUAAGGAGAGGUCGAAAGACGUAUCCGAUGGACAACAGGUUUAGAUUCCUGUACCACAUAUGAACAGAACUGUGGGGACGCAUGUGGAGAGCACGAGCCGGGAAUGGAAAUACCGGUACAAGCGGAGAAGGAGUCUGGUUGGCAAAUCCGCCAGGCAAUCCGAAGACGUGAUGUGGAGCGAAUUAGAGUAGCGAAGCGUGUGAGCCAUGUGCCGAGAAAAGCCGCUAUUGUUUCAUGUGUGCCCGUACCGUAAACCGACACAGGUGGAUGAGGAGAGAAUCCUAAGGCCGGCGGAAGAAGCAUUGUUAAGGAACUCGGCAAAAUGACCCCGUAACUUCGGGAGAAGGGGUGCCUGCUAACGCAGGCCGCAGAGAAUAGGCUCAAGCAACUGUUUAGCAAAAACACAGGUCUAUGCGAAACCGAAAGGUGAAGUAUAUGGGCUGACGCCUGCCCGGUGCUGGAAGGUUAAGAGGAGAGGUUAGCGCAAGCGAAGCUUUGAAUUUAAGCCCCAGUAAACGGCGGCCGUAACAAUAACGGUCCUAAGGUAGCGAAAUUCCUUGUCGGGUAAGUUCCGACCCGCACGAAAGGCGUAAUGAUUUGAGCACUGUCUCGACAAUGCAUCCGGUGAAAUUGAAGUACCAGUGAAGAUGCUGGUUACCCGCGCCAGGAUGGAAAGACCCCAUGGAGCUUUACUCCAGUUUGGUACUGGGAUUCGGUACUGCAUGUACAGGAUAGGUGGGAGACUAAGAACUUGGGACGCCAGUUUCAAGGGAGUCGCUGUUGGGAUACCACCCUUGCAGUAUUGGAUUUCUAACCAGCCGCCGUGAUCCGGCGGUGGGACAAUGCAGGCGGGGAGUUUGACUGGGGCGGUCGCCUCCGAAAGGGUAUCGGAGGCGCUCAAAGGUUCCCUCAGAAUGGUUGGAAACCAUUUGAAGAGUGCAAAGGCAGAAGGGAGCUUGACUGCGACACCGACGGGUGGAGCAGGUAGGAAACUAGGACUUAGUGAUCCGGUGGCAUAAAGUGGGAUUGCCAUCGCUCAACGGAUAAAAGCUACCCUGGGAUAACAUGCUUAUCACUCCCAAGAGUUCACAUCGACGGAGUGGUUUGGCACCUCGAUGUCGGCUCAUCGCAUCCUGGGGCUGUAGCAGGUCCCAAGGGUUGGGCUGUUCGCCCAUUAAAGCGGUACGCGAGCUGGGUUCAGAACGUCGUGAGACAGUUCGGUCCCUAUCCGGCGCGGGCGGAGGAUAUUUGAGAGGAGCUGUCCUUAGUACGAGAGGACCGGGAUGGACGGACCACUGGUGUAUCUGCUGUCGACCAACGGCAUGGCAGAGUAGCCAAGUCCGGAAGGGAUAAACGCUGAAGGCAUCUAAGCGUGAAGCCCCCCUCAAGAUGAGAUAUCCCUCACAUAAGUGAGUAAGAUCCCUUGAAGACUACAAGGUAGAUAGGGCAGAGGUGGAAGCACGGUAACGUGUGGAGCUGACUGUUACUAAUCGAUCGAGGGCUUGAC
rnacentral:rRNA from 1 species